ACCAAACUUUAUAUUGAGAAAAAAGAAAAAGAAAAAAGAAAUCUUUAAAAAUAUGAAGCGGAAUCUGCCAACAGCGAGACAAUUUGGGCAAUCUUCUCUAACUUCUUGUUUCAUCUCCUCGAAAUCAAGAUCCCCCAGCGAAGCGACUGAAUCAAAAGCGCCCAAGAAAUCGAUCUCGCUCUCCGACUUCUUGAAUCGAAAGAUCGUAAAAACCAAUGCCAAAUCUAUCAAG